AGUAAUGUAUGGGGAUCUGCCUGAUGGCGGGGGAUAACUACUGGAAACGGUAGCUAAUACCGCAUAAUGUCUGCGGACCAAAGCGGGGGACCUCCGGGCCUCGCGCCAUCAGAUGAACCCAUAUGGGAUUAGCUUGUAGGUAAGGUAACGGCUUACCUAGGCGACGAUCCCUAGCUGGUCUGAGAGGAUGAUCAGCCACACUGGGACUGAGACACGGUCCAG
rnacentral:rRNA from 1 species